rnacentral:rRNA from 1 species
UACGGAGGGUGCGAGCGUUGUCCGGAAUCAUUGGGCGUAAAGGGCGCGUAGGUGGCCCGGUCAGUCAGUGGUGAAAGCGCGGGGCUCAACUCCGCGUCGGCCAUUGAUACUGCUGGGCUUGAGCACUGUAGAGGCAGGCGGAAUUCCGGGUGUAGCGGUGGAAUGCGCAGCUAUCAGGAGGAACACCGAUGGCGAAGGCAGCUCGCUGGGACGGUACUGACGCUGAGACGCGAAAGCGUGGGGAGCAAACAGG